rnacentral:rRNA from 1 species
AUUGAACGCUGGCGGCAGGCCUAACACAUGCAAGUCGAACGGCAGCGGGGGAUAGCUUGCUAUCCUGCCGGCGAGUGGCGGACGGGUGAGUAAUGCAUGGGGAGCUGCCCAGUCGAGGGGGAUAACAACUGGAAACGGUUGCUAAUACCGCAUACGCCCUAAGGGGGAAAGGUGGGGAACUUCGGUCCUACCGCGAUUGGAUGCGCCCAUGUGGGAUUAGCUAGUUGGUGAGGUAACGGCUCACCAAGGCGACGAUCUCUAGCUGGUCUGAGAGGAUGCCCAGCCACACUGGAACUGAGACACGGUCCAGACUCCUACGGGAGGCAGCAGUGGGGAAUAUUGCACAAUGGGGGAAACCCUGAUGCAGCCAUGCCGCGUGUGUGAAGAAGGCCUUCGGGUUGUAAAGCACUUUCAGUCAGGAGGAAGGGGUGAUGGCUAAUAUCCAUCAUCAUUGACGUUACUGACAGAAGAAGCACCGGCUAACUCCGUGCCAGCAGCCGCCGUAA